UCUUCUCCUGAGUUUCACUGACGACCUUCACCAAUCCAGGAAAUGCACUCUUCUCAUUACUAUCGUAGGAGGAGGUACAGGAGCCUGAAGAUGUACACUCAACAUUUCAGGAACAGCUUCUUCUCCACCACUAUUAGAUUUCUGAGCAGUCUGUGAAUCCAUAAACUCUACUUUGAACACAGAUUCUGCCUUUGGUGGAAAUCCAAAGCAACACACACAAAAACCAGGAGGAACCCAACAGAUCAGGCAGCAUGUAUGGGUUCUCUUGAGGAUCCUGUCCUGGAAUUACACACUGACAUUGAGGGAAUGGGACCCACUCUCAGGGUUUCACGACUGGCCGUUAUUCGACAUGCCAAGGAUGCAGCCUAAGAACUUAGCUUGCCUUCGGAGGUCUGAGAUCUCGUGGCCCUGGAGACGGGCAGGUCGAAGAUUACUGGGUAGACCCCGGAAGAGCACCUGAAUAAUCUUGAUAAACCCUUCUCCCGACUGCUGCAGUGUGGUCUACGACUAAAACAUGAGAAAAGCAUCAUUCCAGCAGAUCAUUUAGAAUACCUGGGUCUUCACUUGGAUUCCAAAUCCAAUUAAAGAAAAGCUUCACUCCAUUCUUGAAGCCCAGCAACAAGGAACAUACUUGAACUUGGCUCCUUUUUGGACAUGUUCAAUCAUCAUGCCAGAUUAUUGAAGAAAGAUAUGAGGUGACAUUGGGAUUAGGCAGAGGAAUCUGUUUUUCAGAGAGCCAAACUAAAGCUGACUCAAUCGCAAGCAUGAAUGCACUCCAGUCAUAGGGUGCCAAUCGUUUUGUACUAUGAAGUCGCUCUGUAUGGUGUUGGUGUGAUGGUAAGACAGAAGAAUAUGGAUGGCGAUGAAAAGCCUGCUGCUUUCAUGUUUUAACCCAGCUGAGCAAAACUAGUUGGACAAGUUGAUCAGCAGUUUCUGAGAUACUCAAACCACCUGGUCUGGCAUCAGCAAUAAUUCCACAGGUUAAAGUCACUUAGAUCACAUUUCUUCCAAAUUCUAAUGCUAGGUCAGUGUAUAAUGGCUGCACCAACAGUAAUCACUGUUAAGGUUCAAUAAACUGAUUAGAAAAGCUGGCUCUGUAAUAGGAGUCAAACUGGACACCUUCGUGGUAGAACAAAGGACCCUACGGAAAAUCCUGGCAAUUCUGGACAAUGUUUCUUACCCUCUGCAUGCCACCUUGGCUGAACAAAGGAGCACUUUUAGUAAUAGACUAAGACAACUGUGCUGCUCCAAAGAGUACUAAAUGAGGUCAUUCUUACCUUUAGCCAUUAGGCUCCAUAACGAGUCAACCCAUAACCAGAGAAAAGAUGACCCCUUCCUGUUAGACUUGUGGUAACUUAUGUUUUGUUCUUUCUACUUCUCUUCUAAUAUUUAUACCUGUGCAUUUGUAAUGCUACUGUGACACUGUAAUUUCCUUUGGGAUCAAUAAAGAAUCUAUAUCUAUUUGACAAAUUCAUUGCAAUAGAUAUUGACUGUAUAUCAUUCAGAAAGAUGACAUCUGGCCUAUUAAAGAGAAAAAUUAGCUUUAUUUGACAUAUGUACAUCUUGCCAAGCUAGCCACAAUUCCUUGCUACCGUGUCUUUAUAUCAUUCCCAAAUCAAACUUCUCAAUCGCUCCUUAACUCUGUAACAAUCCCAAAUUAACUUUAUUGACUGCCAUUGCCUUUACCUUUAAAUCUGUUCAAUACUAAAUUGGUCCCACUCUGGACUUGUGCAUAUCACAAUAAACUUGACUUUGACUUUGCUCUCCCUUCUUGUCUACACUUGAAUCAAUAUCAAAUUAAUUCAACCACUCCAUCUCACUGUAACACUAACCCUAUUGUUCUGACAUCUUUCCUUAAACUUGUGACAACUGUAAAGCAAAGCAUCAGUCUUGCUCUCUUCUAAGAAUAUCGUAGUAUCAAUUUCACCAAAUCCUUAUAUCUACAAACUUCCCAUUGUCUUCUUAUCAAACCCAUAUCAAGAGGAUAGUGAGGUCAGCUGAAGGGAUCAUCGGGGUCUCUCUUUCCGCCAUUACAGACAGUUAUGCCACACGCUGCAUCCGCAAAGCAAACAGCAUUGUGAAGGACCCCACCCGCCCCUCAUACAAACUCUUCUCCCUCCUGCCAUCUGGGAAAAGGCACUGAAGCAUUCGGGCUCUCACGAUCAGACUGUGUAACAGUUUCUUCCCCCAAGCCAUCAGACUCCUCAAUUCCCAGAGUCUAGUCUAGACACACACCCACACAUACACCCCCCCCCACACACACACAUAUUCACACACACACACACACACACACACCAUCCCCCCCCACUCCCUUUGCAAUUUUUGCUCAGUUCUUUCUCAAUUCCUGCUAAAACACUAUUUACAUUGUUUACAUUUACAUCAUUUAUUAUUACAUUUAUUAUUACAUUUAUUAUUAUAUUGUAAUUUACCCUUUACUGUGUCUAUUGUCUUGUUUAUUAAUUAUUCUAA